UCCCUGAGAGACCGGUCCCCCAAAGAAAGACCGGUUGCAUCGGGUGUGAGCUCUGCUGACUGCGGGGAGAAGCUCUCGGAGACCGGUCCCUCGUCGGGGAGACCGGUCCCCGAACCCGAAAAUGGCCCAGUCAGGGCAGUGUAAAAGAAUAAAAGUUGAGGGGCUUGUUUGCACUUAUACAACAUGUGGGGCUAUGUGAGGGGUAUGAGAGCUCUUUUCUCUCAUUUCUCACCCACACACCCUCUCAUAUCUCUCUUUCUCUCUCUAGAUGACAAGAAGAGGAAGAAGAAAGGAAAGAAAAGAAAGAGAAGGAGAAUGAAGUCUACCUCAUCUUCUUCAUCUUCUCCUUGGUUGGAGCUUCUUGGAGAGGUAAGCUUUUAAGUUCCUUCUCAUGGCGGAUUUCUAGAGAUGGGUUUGAUUGCUCUAGAAAUGGAGUUUUGUAUUAUGUGAGGGCGUAGUACCUGCCAGUACAGGUAUAAAGCCAGAUGGCACUAGCGAAGUGCUAGAAGUAAUCUAUGGCGAGAAGUGAGACUCGCGGUAGAGAUAGAAGUGUCGAAAUGACUCUCAGAGCAAUAUGAGUAGUAAAUUGCGAGAGUCGAGCCAUAAUGCCUAUGGGCACCCGAGUAGUCCGAAAAUUUCGGAUGUCAUUCCGGUAGAUCGAACAGUGAAAGUAGCAUCACUGUUGAGAGAACGGUCGAUUAGUGGCCAAGUUUGAGCACGUGGGCCUAGUAGUACCUCAAGGUGAGGUAGGCGGUUGUGCUCGUGCGGCCGGUGUGCAUAGGCAAGAUUGCCUGAUGCUGGAUUUCGUGUGAAAUGCUGUAGAGGCGUAGAGCGCUCGAGUGUAGAUACCCGUAGAGUGCGGAUGUGGAUUCAGCUGAGAGAGUGUAUUGGUAGUAGCACUUGAGCAUUGCUAGGUGUGAAGCGUGCCAUGGAUCACUCGUGGGACUGGUGACUCGCACUAGGUGCAUAGUAGCCGGUAGUGAUACGUGUGACUCGGUAGAGCAUGUCGUGUAGGACGACGACGGUAGGUAGUGCUUGGGGACGACCCGUGCUUGGACCGUUUGUGGACUGUAGAGCCUGGGCCCAUUGAGCAGGCGCAGUCAGCUGUGAGUGACAGCGGCCCGGUACCUAUGGGUAGGGCAGAGUUCUGGUCAGGACGGUAGUCCCAGCUUAGACCCGGGAACGUGGAAUGCCACGUGAUAGAUUGUGUGACCGAUGGUACACCGAGUAUGAUUGUGACCCAACCCGAGGACUUGACGUGGUUUGGGGUCUUAGUUGCUCCUGGUUGGAGUGUGUGCGAAUUCCCAAGUGAGAAUUUCGCCUGAUCAUGAUUGGGUCUGCAUUUGCGAGCGAGAGACGCUGCGUAUUGAGACAGGUUUAGGUGGUAGGCCUACGUAGGAUUGGUGGCCUAUGGUCCACCUGUGGAGACCGAAGAAAGCGAUUUGGCAGAUAGCCUUAUCGAGGAAUUCGACUCGAAUUCACGAACGAAGCGUUCGCGUGAGCUCGUUGCGAAAAUAGUUUGAUGUUAAUCGUGGCAUGUGGUAUCAGAUGAUGAAGUACUCCUUGUGAGACAUCAAUCUAGUGGAAAGCCACGUGAUGUUGGAGACUAUACUCGUAAGAGAACUGAGACUUGAGAUGUGCCGAAGUGGGCCAUCUCGCGUUAAAGUUAAAGGUCAGUGCAAAAUUAGAGCACUCACGACGAAGCGAUGCAUCGGUGAUAUUGCUCCUAAGCAAUGUCGGUGAUCGAAUCAGAAUGUAUUCCCUGAAGGGAAGGUAAGUGCAAAGAAGAGUUCUUUGUAUACCGAAUAAUGGCGAGUGGUGUUGGAGCGCGUAGAGUCGUCGAGUACCAACUUGCGCUGCCACUAUGACUUGCAAGACCCGUGAUGCACUUUUGUAUCACACCUUGCAAAUGUGUUUAGGGUUAAACCCACGUCCUUCAGUAUGAGCCGCUUCUGGAACCACGAUAGUGUGAAACCGCUCUGGAGUGGGAGAAUGAGUCGGUACCCUCAAUUGCUCGCGGAGCUGAAUUGAGGCGUGGUUUGAAUUUCGCGGACGAAAUUCUUUUAAGGGGUGGAGAAUGUAACAUACCAGAUUUUGAUAUAAAAAUA
rnacentral:lncRNA from 1 species